AGCGAACGCUGGCGGCAGGCCUAACACAUGCAAGUCGAACGAACCGUUCGGGGGUAGUGGCGGACGGGGGAGGAACACGUGGGAACGGGCCUUUAGGGUCGGAAUAACUCAGGGAAACGUGUGCUAAUACCGAAUGUGCCCUACGGGGGAAAGAUUAAUCGACUUUAGAGCGGCCCCGGUCCGAUUAGCUAAUUUGUUGAGGUAACGGCUUACCAAGGCGACGAUGAGUAGCUGGUCAGAGAGGGGGCUCAGCCACACUGGAACUGAGACACGGCCCAGACUCCUACGGGAGGCAGCAGUAGGGAAUCUUCCGCAAUGGGCGAAAGCCUGACGGAGCAACGCCGCGUGAGUGAUGAAGGUCUUCGGAUCGUAAAACUCUGUUAUUAGGGAAGAACAAAUGUGGAAGGAACUAUGCACGUCUUGACGGUACCUAAUCAGAAAGCCACGGCUAACUACGUG
rnacentral:rRNA from 1 species